AUUAUCCUGAGAUAACUCAGAAACAGAAAGUCAAAUACUGCAUGUUCUCACUUAUAAGUGGAAGCUAAGUAAUGGGUGCACAUGGAUAUACAGAGUGAAAUAAUACACAUUGGAGACUACAAAAAGGUGCACAGCUGGAUGGCUUCUGUUCUAGAGGCAGCCUAAGGUCCUGGAAUUUCAACAAAGUAUACUUCAAGCAAGAAGCAUUGGAUUCAAAGUGGAAUCUAGAAAGACUUCCAACCAGGUGGUGUUCCCAGAUGGAACAAUGCUUUAUUAGCAUCAUUAACAAAAAUACCAUGAUUGAAAAGGCAUGAAGAAAUAAUGACACUGAAAACAUCGAGUGACUUAUUCAUACAGGAUGAGGAUGAGCAGGAGAUGAACCCUUAUCAAAUUCUGGCUCUACACCAAGCACUAAUAAUUAGCUGUUUGACACUCUUCCGGAUAUUGUUUUUGUCACUUAACAACAUAACUUGGUGAUCCUCCCAGAGCAGAAAAGCUCUCCCAGAUAUGUUUCAGGGCAGCGUAACCUUCCUUGUUCUUCCUUCACUGAGCAUGUUAUAUGUGGAAAGAACACAUCCUCACUUGGGGAAACCAGAUAAAUUGUUUAAAUUAUUGCAAAUGUGAAUGAUUUUAAUGUAGAAAUAACCUUUUUCAUUCCACAUUAAUCACAAAUACUGUUCACAACCCUUCGUAAUAAACUUGUCUCUGC
rnacentral:lncRNA from 1 species